CCUACGGGAGGCAGCAGUGGGGGAUAUUGCACAAUGGGGGGAACCCUGAUGCAGCGACGCCGCGUGUGGGAAGACGGUCCUCUGGAUUGUAAACCACUGUCCCCAGGGACGAAAAUGACGGUACCUGGGGGGGAAGCUCCGGCUAACUACGUGCCAGCAGCCGCGGUAAUACGUAGGGACCGAGCGUUGGCCGGAAUUACUGGGUGAAAAGGGAGCGGAGGCGGGGAUGCAAGUUGGGUGUCAAAACUACCGGCUCAACUGGUAGACGCACUCAAAACUGCAGGUCUUGAGUGAAGUAGAGGCAGGCGGAAUUCCUAGUGUAGCGGUGAAAUGCGUAGAUAUUAGGAGGAACACCAGUGGCGAAGGCGGCCUGCUGGGCUUUUACUGACGCUGAGGCUCGAAGGUGUGGGGAGCAAACAGGAUUAGAUACCCGGGUAGUC
rnacentral:rRNA from 1 species